rnacentral:rRNA from 1 species
AUUGAACGCUGGCGGCAUGCCUUACACAUGCAAGUCGAACGGUAACAGGUCUUCGGAUGCUGACGAGUGGCGAACGGGUGAGUAAUACAUCGGAACGAGCCCGAGAGUGGGGGAUAACGAGGCGAAAGCUUUGCUAAUACCGCAUACGAUCUCAGGAUGAAAGCAGGGGACCGCAAGGCCUUGCGCCCACGGAGCGGCCGAUGGCAGAUUAGGUAGUUGGUGGGAUAAAAGCUUACCAAGCCGACGAUCUGUAGCUGGUCUGAGAGGACGACCAGCCACACUGGGACUGAGACACGGCCCAGACUCCUACGGGAGGCAGCAGUGGGGAAUUUUGGACAAUGGGCGCAAGCCUGAUCCAGCCAUGCCGCGUGCAGGAUGAAGGCCUUCGGGUUGUAAACUGCUUUUGUACGGAACGAAAAGACUCUGGCUAAUACCUGGGGUCCAUGACGGUACCGUAAGAAUAAGCACCGGCUAACUACGUGCCAGCAGCCGCCGCCG